GGAUGACGAGGGUGGGUGGGUCCAAGGCUCACAGAUCUACGGAUGGGCUCCUGGGGCCUACACCGUGCCGCAGCUAAGACAACCACUCUGUUCUUGCGGUCUGGGCCACAUGGCACAACAUGAGGAAGGAGAUGUCGAAGAGCAAGGCGCGAACGGAGGCUGCUUUGGCUACGGAGAACAAGAUGGCUGACCCCACAGCCCCGAACAGGGCCCAGAGCCCUCAUCUGAAUCGGGAGGGGAUCAGGAUUUGCCUCAAGGAAGGGCCCAGCCUUCCUUACUUGAUGAAUUUCCGGGCGAAGGAUUUAAGCUUCCCCGUGGCAGCAGCGGCAGCCAGCAGCAGAUCCAGACUCUUCCCGGACAGCAUGUGGCCCAGGACUCCUAGCAGGCCCUCUGGG